rnacentral:lncRNA from 1 species
UCCUGAGAAGGCUGACAAGUUGAAGCAAUCUCUUCCUCCAGGUAUAGGGACAUUCUGUCUUUAAUUGCUGUUUAUAUGUUGUGUCAUUUUUGAAUUACUCCACUUUGUUUUGAUCGAAGGCUAUCCAUGUCAAUAACCAAUCAUCUUGGCUAUCCAUGUCAAUAACCAAUCAUCUUUUACAUGCGUUUCGCACCUCUAAUGAUCUAAACUACAAUCAUGUACUUUUUGCUAGAUAUCAAUUUGAUUCCUUUUUUAUUUUAAUUAAUAAUAUCUCUCUUGCUCGUGCUCAAGAUUUUUGAGAUAAAAUUAAGAACCCAACAAUUUCUUUACUCCCUUUCCCCCUUCUAUUUGAAUUAUUAAAUCCUUGAAAAGGAUUGAUUGUGUAGUCUGUGUGAUUUAUUUUAGGUGACUGCUCACUACUUGGUUCAAACGUUC